GGGUCAGUAGGUUGGUCGUGCCACCGGUACGUACUGGUCUCACUGAUUCCUCCUUCCUGAAGAACCGUAAUGCCAUUAAUUUGGUGUUGCGGGGAAACAGGACUGUUACUUUGAAAAAAUUAGAGUGUUUAAAGCAAGCUAACGCUUGAAUACAUUAGCAUGGAAUAAUGAAAUAGGAGGAUCGAUCCUAUUUUGUUGGUUUCUAGGAUUGACGUA
rnacentral:rRNA from 1 species